GACGUAGGGGGCGAGCGUUGUCCGGAUUUAUUGGGCGUAAAAAGCUCGUAGGCGGCUCAGAAAGUCGGGUGUGAAACCUCCAGGCUCAACCUGGAGACGCCACCUGAUACUGCUGUGGCUAGAGUCCGGUAGGGGAACACGGAAUACCCGGUGUAGCGGUGAAAUGCUUAGAUAUCGGGUGGAACACCAGUGGCGAAGGCGGUGUUCUGGGCCGGAACUGACGCUGAGGAGCGAAAGCGUGGGUAGCAAACAGG
rnacentral:rRNA from 1 species